rnacentral:rRNA from 1 species
AUCGCGAGAGUUUGAUCCUGGCUCAGAUUGAACGCUGGCGGCAUGCCUUACACAUGCAAGUCGAACGGCAGCACGGGAGCAAUCCUGGUGGCGAGUGGCGAACGGGUGAGUAAUACAUCGGAACGUGUCCUGUAGUGGGGGAUAGCCCGGCGAAAGCCGGAUUAAUACCGCAUACGCUCUACGGAGGAAAGGGGGGGAUCUUAGGACCUCUCGCUACAGGGGCGGCCGAUGGCAGAUUAGCUAGUUGGUGGGGUAAAGGCCUACCAAGGCGACGAUCUGUAGCUGGUCUGAGAGGACGACCAGCCACACUGGGACUGAGACACGGCCCAGACUCCUACGGGAGGCAGC